GAUUGCUAAAAAUUUGAGUACAAGGGUUGGAAAUUAAAUGCAAAAGCUUGGAAAAUUAAAAGACGGAUAAAAAUAAAGACAGAUAGAUUGUUAAAGUCUGUUGUUGUUGUCGAAUUGAUUAAGGUCUUCCCGUGGCACAACAGAAAAUAUUUAUAACAGCAUCUGGUUGCCUUCGUAAGAAUUUGGAAUCGACACUUCUCACACUGCACAUUCUGCAACUGGUGUCCAUUUUCCUAUCAACUGCUUAGUAACCUUCUCUAUAGCAAGUAACCUCCAUCAUGUUUCAGUAACUCCUUAUAAUUUUGCAUUACUUAAUAACCUUUUGUAACCUCCAAUUAAGUACUAACUUCCAAUAAAUACCUACCAA
rnacentral:misc_RNA from 1 species